rnacentral:SRP_RNA from 1 species
CCGUGCUAGGCGGGGAGCCAGCGGUGCCCUGUACCCGCAAUCCGCUUCAGCGGGGCUGAAUCCCCGCCCGCGGCCCGAUGGGUCCGAGGCAGCUCCCGGUGCGGAGCGUCGAUGGUCGGGUCCCACGCGACGCCAACCUGCGAACCCGGUCAGAUCCGGAAGGAAGCAGCCGUAAGCGGGCCAUGGCGGGUGCCGUGGGGUCACCUGGCCGGAGCCACCGACCGGUGAUGCGCACGGGUCCGCCUGGGUCAACGGCGGGUGCACGG